rnacentral:misc_RNA from 1 species
ACACGGAGAAUGGACCUGUCCGGGCAACGGUCAGUGCAGGUAUCGCCAUCCGUUCGCCGGAGCCGGAAACGCUCCAGGCGCUGCUCAGCAGGGCAGAUGCCGCACUUUAUGAAGCCAAGGCUUCCGGCCGUAACCGCGUUCAAAUCUCCGGCNUCCGGCUUCAGUCUGGCUGCGUGAAAACAAAAGCCCGAUGGUCUUUCGACCACCGGGCUGAAAUCGAUGAAGCAGGUUGCGACGCGGGUUGCACUAUUCGUCGCGGUAAACCUUCUCGCGCUUCUCGUGGC